CAAAGCAAAAAGAAGCAAAGUACAUUCUAGAAACCAAAAUAAGCCAGCCUAGCUAAAGAACAGUGAGGGAGGGAUAGAGAAGAGGUGGAUUUGAGAGAUAGCUGGGAGGUAAAAUUGACACGAGUUUGGAUGCACUGGAUCUGGUGUUAUCUGGGAGAGGGAGGUAUCAAGGAUGACUCUUGAAUUGCUGAUUUUAGCAACUAGUUAGAUGAUUAUGCUAUUUGCUUUGAAAAAGAACUGGAGCGAUUCCAGGCUUGCAAUGGAGGAGGAGGAGAAAGAACAUGUUUACUUUCAGUUUCAGGUAGAAAAACUUUUAUCUGCCUAUGGAACCACUUAGAGGAGACAAAUGGAGCUUGGAGGAGACAUGUGAUAGACGUGUAAAUUUGAGGGCAGCUGUUGAAGAUAAUAAUUUUCGGAGACAGAAGAGUCAAAGAAGCUAAAGGAAGGAAGCCUUUCUAAAUGCAGGAAGUGAUUAAGUCUCAAUGUCUGCUGACACAUCGGAGAAAAUAACUAAAAUUCAUCUAUUGGAAUUAACCAUAUGAAGGUCAAAUUACUUCAAACUCUUAAACCUACCAGUCAGUGGGAGGGCUGGUAGUGGGGGGUGCAACCCUCCCAUGGGACAUCCCUCAAUUACUCACCUCCACCACAGGGGACUUAUUCACAUUAUUUCUCACUGCCCCACCUACCCAUGUUCCCUCAGAAAUAUUACCUUUACUCAAGCCCUGACUCAAAUUUCUCCCCUGAAGAACAUUUUUGCCUUGUGUUUUUAUUUACAGUGCCCAUCACUUUUAAUGUUCAUUGUGAUUUUUAUAUAUAUGUUAUCUCUCCCUAUAAAAAUAUUAGCUCUUUGAGGGCAAGGAUCAUAUUUCUGUCAUCGUUGCUUCCACAGUGACUGGCACAUGGGAUAUAAAUAUGAGUUCAGUUGUACUUUUUAAAUUUUCUAUUACUCAUGAGUUGCUUUUCAAUGAAUUUCUCAUUAUCCUGUUUCUCUUUUCAUAUGCAUUUCUGAAAGAGGCUGACAAGAUGUUUCCCAGUGAGCUUUGCCAGGUGUCGGCAUAUUCGUGAAGUCACCAUGGAUACAAGUUCUGUUCCUCAAUUUUUAAACAGAAUUUAUUAGUAAGCAUAAGUCAGAUCGGCAUGGCCCAAGGAGACAGUGCUGCCAAAAGCCUUCAUGAGUACAGAACCUGCCACUUGUCCAAGGGGCUGUGAUUGGGAACUUACUUGACCCCACAACCAUCAGGGAUGA
rnacentral:lncRNA from 1 species